CUGGAAUGUGUCUGCUGACUGUGAGGUACAGGGUCAAAGUUUACUCAAUGAUGAGUCCGCGGCAAACCGUUCGGGACAUCACUAUCUGCAAUGAAUCAUUCUUUAUAAGGUUGUUUUCUAUUAGUUCCUCGAUCUGUUUUCUUUGUUCAAAUGUUGUAUUAAAGUGAUGCAUUGUUACAUUUUAUGUGGUUUAAUAACAUAUUGGACAAUGGUUGUCCUGCAACUAAACAUCUUGAAUUAAGCUGGAAUUAUUCGCUGUAAUGGAAAUUGUCGGAAUUCAUAGUUAAUUUACAUUUAAGACCGUAGACGAUGAACUGCAUUGCUGACGUGGGUAAUGAUUCCAAUUCAGCUAUUUGGCACUAAAUUUGAAACUUACUUUAAAUUUUCAACAUUUCUCAUUUUAGUAAAUAACCCUGUAAAAGUGUUAAGCUCAGAUCUUUUGCCCUCUGUCAUGUCUUGUUCGAGCCAUACUGAUAACUGAUUAGCCAAUUACCUUAUUUUUGAUUAGUUUAAACAUCUGCUAAAAUUAAUCCCAUUUUAUUAAGAUAAACAGUUUGGGUUUUCCUUGUGUAAACAUCUAGCGAUGCAGUAAUACCUAAAUAUAAAAUAGUUAUGCGUGGUACACCUCAUUUCACAACUUAACCAUUUUAAUAAUUUAUACUGUUUAUACAGUUUAUUCAGGUGCAACAGUUAAUAUUUUACUUGAAAUCGAAAAAUAGUGGAAAUAAGGUCCCUUUUCAGCUAUUGAAGUUAGUAUUUUUUUAUUUUUAUUGGUCAGGUUGAGAAUAUACACAUUUAGCCUAGAUUUGGUAAAUUCUCUCCAGGUGGCAUGUGAUAAUGGCAUUGCCAUCAUAUCUUCCCUAUUCCAUACAGGUGUUGGAACUCAAGGCUUUCCUGUCCCUUUUUUUUUUUUUUUAUACGCUACAUUAUAUUCAUGUAAGUCGCUGCUUUUUUCCUUUGAUGUUUAUACUGACAAGUCUUCAUGAGAGCUCUUGAGAGCACACUUGGUUUGACCUGUGUAUAAUAAACGUGCUUAAUGUUAAAGUGGGUGUGCUAGUCUAUUUGAUUUUAUUUUCAGGAUUGAAAAUCAAUAAAUGGAACAAUAUCACAACUUGUAACCCAAGUGUGAUGUGACACACUGCUGUCAGCCUGGUUUAAUCAAUGGUUUUAUCAUCAUCAUAACCUUUACGCAAAACAAAUUAAAUAAUAUAGACUCAAACACGUAUCUAAACAUAUGUUAAAAUAAUUUACCCAUGGUUGUAGAAUUCAAUAAAACACACGAUUAAUAAAAAU